CCAACAUCUAAAGAGGACUCUGCCUGCCGGCCCUGCCAGCCUAAGCCUGCAAUCCCUGCAUCCAGAUUCUGGUUUGCUGUGAAGUCCUGCCCAGGACUGCUGGGUACCUGCCCUGCUGCCACUGGAGCCACGCCAGCUCCUAGCUCCACCGCAACUGGAGUGCCAUCAACUCCAUAUCAGACAUUCAAGAUUGAGGGAAAGUUAUGCGAGAGGGAAGAAGAAAAAACCUUCCUUUUUACCAGCGGAACCACCCUCCUCCUCCUCAAACCACAACCCUGUUUCAGAGGAGUUGUUAUGUCCCAUUUGUAAGAACAUAAUGACAGAUGCUGUCAUUAUUCCCUGCUGUGGAAACAGUUACUGUGACAAAUUUAAGUGUCUGUUAAUUCCAAACAUCACAUCUGCUCUUCUGAGAGAAGAAAGAUAAGAAAGAAAUGUCAUUUAAAGUAUCAGGUAAGAAAUAAAAGAAAGAAAUACAAUUUAAUCUGCAUUCUUCUCCAUGGGAGAGUUGGUUCAAACCUCCAGAACUCAAAUCUACUCAUGUUUUUGGAGACGUGUUUUGUUUGUUAACCGUGAGGUUGGUGACUUCUCACUGGAUGAGAUGGUAGAAAAAAGACCAUUUGAAACCUCCAGAUACAGCCUGGUCUAAUUAGACUAAUUAGAACACCAGGACACAUCCCAGUCUACAUCUUCAAAUGUUACAAGAGCAAAAUAUCAAAUCUUGAUAGUUAUUUGCUGCAUACAAGAAACCUUUUACACUAUGUUCGUGCUCUCAAUUCCAGACCCCAGCAUCACGCAAGGGGGUUUAGGCAUGACCCCAGGAUCAUGCCAGUGGGAUCCCUAGGAGGUCCCAAGGUUAACCCUGAUAUUACACCAGGGUGGUCUCGACAUGACUCCGGGGUCAUGCUGGAGGUGUCCUGGGAGCAUCCCAGAGUUGACCCCAGCAUGACGCAGGUAGGGUUGAGGCAUGACCCCGGGAUCACCUCCCAGGAUUUUCCACUGCAUCACCAUGGGCAGGUCAAGGUGUGACCCUGGGGUCAUGACAGCGGGGUCCCAUGGGGGUUCUAGAGUUGAUUGCAGCAUCUCACCUGAGGGGUCAAACCAUGACCCCGAGGCCAGGCUGGUGGCACCCCAGGGGUGUCCCAGAGUUCACUCCGGCAUGGGGGUCCCAGAAUGAUCCAAGGGUCUUGCCAGAGGGGCUCCAGGGACAUCCUAGGGUUAACCCCGGCAUCCUGCUGAGGGACUCAGGCAAGAACCUGGGAUCAUGCCACCAGCGUCCAAAGGGGGUCCCAGGGUUGACACACCAUCAUGCUGAGGGCGUGCUAUAAUGACCCCAGGGUCAUGCUGGAGGGGCUCUGGGGACGUCCCGGGGUUAACCUCGGCAUCCUGAUGAGGGGCUGAGGCAAGAACCUGGGGUCAUGCCACCAGGGUCCCAAGAGGGUUGACAAACCAUCAUGCUGAGUGUGUGCUAUAAUGACCCCAGCGUCAUGCCUGCAAGGUCCUGGUGGGGUCCCAAGGUUGACCCGGCAUCACACUGAGGUGGCGGGUGGGUCCUGACAUGACCCUGAGCUCGUGCCGGCGGAGUUCAGGGGGGAUUAGGGUUGAGCCUGGCAUCACACCAGGGGCAUUGAGGCAUGAUCUGGAGUCAUGCCAGCGGGAUCCUGGGAGGGCCACUGUGUUGAUCAUGGCAUCACACAGGGAGGGUCAAGGCAUCACCCCAGGGUCAUGCUGGUGGCAUGACCUUGUGGUCAUGCCGGCGGGGUCCCAGGUUUGACCCAGGCUUCAUGCAGGGGUGGUCGAAGCAUGACUUGCGGUCACGCUGCCAGGGUCCUGAGGGGUUGUGGGUUUGAUCCUGGCAUCGUGUUGUGGGGGUUGAUGCAUGACCCCAGGGUCAUGGUGGGGAUGUCAUGGAGGGCUACCGAAGUUGAUCACAACAUCAUGACUGUGAGUUUUCCUACAGAAUCCAUUACUCUUGGCAUACCUAGUUGUACCAAGAAAAAUGCUACGCCGGUGAUCUGCAAGAGAAAUAUGACAAAGCAUGCCGCACAGAGAAAAAACAGCAUAGCGUGUGUUCACAAGCUUGUCUGUGAUAUAUGGUUGAACGCAAACACGUUUGUGCCUCUGUGAGACUAAACACCUCAGUCUAAGUCUGUGACUGUGCACACUGGUGCAAGUGGUUGUACAUUCACACGGUCCUUGGGUGCGGGGCUUUCAGAAAGGUGUCUGUAGGCCCAUGUGAAUAUAGGCCGCUGUCUGAACACGCAUACUCCAUUGUUUACCCACACACAUGCAGACGCGUUUUCACACAUAGUUUUGCAUGCACACAUGUACCUCUGUAGAUAAGCGACCAUGUAAAUGUGUGUGCACACAGAGACAAAAUCGGACCCCUUUGCUUCUGUGUGAACAUGCCAAUUUAUAAGCAGACGCUUGUACUCUCACAGACACAUGAACUUGCAUACAUUCAGCCACAUAACCACCAGCUUUUUAACACAGGCUCUGCUGGUUUUGGAAAUUUUUCAUGUACAAUACAUCUAUACUAAGAAAAAGUUGCUUAUGCAUAAGGUUAAGGUGGCAUAGAUUAUUACACGGUCUUUGCUGUGAUCUAGCCUCCUUGUACAGGAACUGCAGUCGCUUUCGGUGGUGCUUCUGAGGGUCUGUUCGUGUGUUGCUGACCGACCUCUCCACGUUGGCAGCUCUUCACAGAAACGCAGCCACCAGACAUCAGUGUGUUAUCAGCACUGCUUGGGUCGAAGGUCUAACCCACAGCGCCGUAGGAGCUGCUGUGAGGAAAAUGAGCUGCUCUCCAGCCAGGCCUCAUGCCCUUGGGAAAACAGGCAAUGGGGCUGAUGACCUCUGAAGCCCUCACUUCUGCCGUACACUGCAGCGAUGUGUGUGAAUGCUGCCUGGUUGUCUGGCAGUGACGCCCCUUGGCUGGAGUGACAAGCUCACCGCCUGCCACGGGCUCAUCAUAUUGGAAUGUUACUAAUCUUAGUAGAAAUGCCGGAAUGGAGCCAGGCCAGGAGGGAAACCACAUUGCCCUAAGCUUCGGGUGCUGAGCAUUUCCUAAGUUCUCACAAAACAGAACGUCCCAGGGCUUGGAAAGUAGUUGACAAAGUAAGCAGAUGAGAAUGCCUGCGAAGAGGGGCUGAGCAGCUGGGCCUGCACGUGUGGUUUAAGCAUUGUGGGCGAUUGCCAGCUUGUUGACAGCUGCCAGCUCUGCUUGCCCUGCCUCUUGAGAAAGUGUUUUGGGGACGGUUGGCUUUGUCUCAGCUGCACCUUGCUGUCUGGGGGGCAGCAAGUCUCUGCAGGGCCUUGUGGAGGACCCGGCGGUGUAGGCAACCUGCAGGUGUCUGGGCCUCAUCAGGGCAGGGUGGGAUGGGGAAGAAGAGCUCAAAUGUCACAUUAAGUUCCACAGUCUCUUUAUCAGUCUUUUUAUCAAUGGCUGGGAGACACAGGCAGCCUGGCUGGGGUAGGGCCUCUGCUUCCAUCCUACAGGGUGCCCAUCACCAACCAUCAAGUGCUCCUCUCGCUGCGCUGCCACAGCCUUUGGCCUCUUCUUCAGGCUUCAUGGCACCACCUCUGCACAUGGCUCCAGCAGCACCUUCAGCCAUUUCCCAGGGUGGGGAUCCUCCUCCUCCCCCUCCUCCAUGCCCUCCGGAGCUGGUAGAACAGGGCUCGCAGGUGAAAUUGAGAGGGACGCUGUUUCACUGCAAACUCUAAGAUCAGCAGGGUUUGAGAAGCCAGGGAAGAGACCGAGAGGUUGGCAUCGUUUGCCUGGUCUUGAAGGGCUGGACAAAAAGGAACAGAGCUGAGGUUGGAGCCUGGUUCUGUGGGGACCUCUGGAGCUCCUCCACCCAUGGUCACCCCUGCCCCCCCAGCUCUCCCCAGGGACAGGAGGGAGACAGAGGUGCCAUGAUGAGCCCAAGGGUGCUGGCCACCAAUGUCCAAUGUGUCCCUGAAGUCUCUCUCUGCUCUGCCCACACUGACCCUCACCCGUCCCAGGCUGGGGCAGGAGCUGGGGUUUUUCCUCCUUCCUGCCAGCCCCCCCAGACACCCCACUGUCCUCACUGACCCUCGUAGAUGAUCUGGAGCUUCUCCUGGCACACACCCGCCUGCUGGCGCCCGAUGAGCCCCAGGCACACACAGCCCGUCACACAGCCUGCUAGCCUGCCUCCCCAGAGACCCAGCUUCCUGCCACCAGCCCCCUGGGCUUGGCCACGCUCCUUCCUGCCCCUGGGCAAGGCUGAGCCCAGGGCGCUGCCCCAAAUGGGAAGCCCAAGAAGGCUGCGAAAGAUGCAGCAAAGCUCCCACUAGGAGCCCAUGUGUGAGUCCAGGUGUGAAAGGGCAGCAGAGAUCCCCAUGGACCCCACGUGGGGCAGGCAGGGCUCUUCAGCUGCCCAGCAGAUUUGGCAGCAGCCGUGCUGGAGCUAAGCUGCCGUGGGGCAGGGAGGGUCCCUUGGCAGGGCUGUGGCUCACCCAGGAGUAUAUAUAUUACAUUGCCCACUUCUGCAGUAGAGAGCUUUAAAUUUGUACUAAUUAACCAAAACCUUUCUGAAAUUCUAUCAAAGAAAUUAGGUUAUGUCCACCUUGACAUGUUUUGUCAAGGACCUUCUGGGUGACCUUUUGGUCCUUCUGGGUGACCGGCCCACGCGGCACUUACUACCUCAGCAAGAAGAAACCCAAAAGAGAAGACAAAUGUUAUAGCCGCAGUGAGCGGGGUCACCACGCCAAAGAAUGCAAGCUCCCGUCGCAGCCCAGAAGAUGCUGCUUCUGCCGGAGCACCAGCCUUACGCUUGUCAGCUGCCCCAGAAAAGCUCAGCAGCGCAGCAGACAAACACCAGGAGCCUGAAGUAGCCUUCUUACCUGUGGCCAGAGAAAACAUAGAUAAAGAAUCAUCACAUUAGUAAAAGAAUUUACUAACCUUUUAGAAAAGGGGGGAAUGAUACAGGGAAUUGCCAAUUAACUAAUUAACACUUUAAAACUAACACUUGACACUUAAGGAACUAACCCUACCCCACAUCACUAAAGACACUUAGAGAGCCAACCCUUUAACCCACAUCACUAUUGCCCAGCCUUGCUUAACUCUGUGUAACUUAUUGUACAAGAAACGGGACGUCACUGACGCCUUGCAAAAAUAAUAAUCCUUGGUGCAUCCUUGGGUGAACUAGAUUACAGAAACCUGGGCACAGGACAGGAGAUACGCCAGUUUAACCAGCUCAGCAGCCUGAGACCCAACCAACUCAUCACACUGACCAAAGGUGACCGUGUACAGAGAAAGAGGACCCGGGGUCACGAUCACUGCGCAGCUGCAACCAGGAAGAGCCAGAGGUGGAGACUAUGGAAAAGGUCUUUUGAACUCAUUGUAAUAAGAACCGCCUUCUCUGGGACAGGUUAUGAAUAUGUACAGGCAUUCCUAGAACUGUCAUGAAUAUGUAACACUUUACUGCAUUUAACCAAGCUCACAGCUACUGUAAUUUUACACACAUAUUAGGUGAAAUGAUUCCCCUUGUGUCCAGCGUCGUAAAUAAAUACAUACCUUCUUUAUAA